CAGGAUGAACGCUGGCGGCGUGUCUAAGGCAUGCAAGUCGAACGGGCCUCGCAAGAGGUCAGUGGCAGACGGGUGCGUAACACAUUGGUAACCUGCCCUCAUCACGGACACAACCUGGAGAAAUCCGGGCUAAUAUCCGAUGUGCUCACCCCGCAUCUGCGGGGUGCGUAAAGGUUGGCGCAAGCCAAUCGGAUGAGGAGGGGCCUAUGGCCCAUCAGCUUGUUGGUGAGGUAAUGGCUCACCAAGGCGACGACGGGUAGCGGGCGUGAGAGCGCGACCCGCCUCACUGGGACUGAGACACUGCCCAGACUCCUACGGGAGGCUGCAGUCAAGAAUAUUCCCCAAUGGCCGAAAGGCUGAGGGAGCGACGCCGCGUGAUCGAUGAAGCCCUUCGGGGUGUAAAGAUCUUUUACUAGGGACGAAUCUAUGACGGUACCUAGUGA
rnacentral:rRNA from 1 species